rnacentral:rRNA from 1 species
UACGUAGGGGGCAAGCGUUGUCCGGAAUCAUUGGGCGUAAAGAGCGUGUAGGCGGUCCGGUAAGUCGGCUGUGAAAGUCCAGGGCUCAACCCUGGGAUGCCGGUCGAUACUGCCGGACUAGAGUUCGGAAGAGGCGAGUGGAAUUCCCGGUGUAGCGGUGAAAUGCGCAGAUAUCGGAAGGAACACCUGUGGCGAAAGCGGCUCACUGGACCAUAACUGACGCUGAGGCGCGAAAGCUAGGGGAGCAAACAGG